GCCUACGGGGGGCCGCCGUGCGGCCUCUUUGUCCCUUUCCUCUCGUCUGCCCCAGCCAAGUAGCGUGAAGGAUGACUGCCCUAUGGGUUGUAAACUUCUUUUAUAAAGGAAUAAAACGAGGCACGUGUGCCUUUUUGCAUGUACUUUAUGAAUAAGGAUCGGCUAACUCCGUGCCAGCAGCCGCGGUAAUACGGAGGAUCCGAGCGUUAUCCGGAUUUAUUGGGUUUAAAGGGAGCGUAGAUGGGUUGUUAAGUCAGUUGUGAAAGUUUGCGGCUCAACCGUAAAAUUGCAAUUGAUACUGGCAG
rnacentral:rRNA from 1 species